GUCCCAGUAGUAUAAUCUAUUACUCUGGUCUUGUAAACCAAAAAUGAAGCCUAAACGCUUCCUAGGACA
rnacentral:tRNA from 1 species